rnacentral:rRNA from 1 species
UACGUAGGGGGCGAGCGUUGUCCGGAUUUAUUGGGCGUAAAGAGCGUGUAGGCGGCCAGACAGGUCCGUUGUGAAAACUCGAGGCUCAACCUCGAGACGCCGAUGGAAACCGUCUGGCUAGAGUCCGGAAGAGGAGACUGGAAUUCCUGGUGUAGCGGUGGAAUGCGCAGAUAUCAGGAGGAACACCGGUGGCGAAGGCGGGUCUCUGGGCAGUAACUGACGCUGAGGAGCGAAAGCGUGGGGAGCGAACAGG